GGGAAGGUGGUGAUUGAUGUGACCUCAUCUCCUUGGAAUAUUUAUAUGCAGUUUGGUGUCUCUUUCAGUAAUGAAAUGAGCGAAAUCAUCAUAUCUCUGUCAAUGUAAACGGGAUUCGUCUGCUGCUCGAAUAAGAAUUGUUGAUUCAAAAAUCGUCUUCUUCAGGUUUCGCUGUGACCAAUAUCAGCACCACUGUUCAGAUUUUGUUUCAAAUUCCACCCUUACAAGUAUGGGAAGAACUCCAUGCUGCAACGAAGCUGGGUUAAAGAGAGGUGCAUGGACAGCUGAUGAAGACCAGAAACUCAUCGCUUAUAUUCAAGAACACGGCGGAGGAGGGUGGCGUACCAUGCCUCAGAAAGCUGGUCUCCAGCGAUGUGGGAAGAGCUGCAGAUUGAGAUGGGCUAAUUAUCUUAGACCUGAUAUUAAAAGGGGAGAGUUCAGUACAGAGGAGGAGAAAAUGAUCAUUCAACUUCAUGCUACUCUAGGCAACAGGUGGUCUGCAAUUGCGAGGCAUUUGCCAAAAAGAACGGACAAUGAGAUCAAGAAUUAUUGGAAC
rnacentral:misc_RNA from 1 species